AUUGAACGCUGGCGGCAGGCCUAACACAUGCAAGUCGAGCGAGCGGCGGACGGGUGAGGAAUGUAUGGGGACUGCCCGAUAGAGGGGGAGCACUACUGGAAACGGUAGCUAAUACCGCAUACUAUAGGAUAACCCAUAUGGUAUUAGCUAGUAGGUGAGGGAAUGGUACACAUAGGCGACGAGCCCUAGCUGGGCUGAGAGUAGUAUCAGCCACACUGGGACUGAGAAACGGCCCAGACUCCUACGGAGGCAGCAGUGGGGAAUAUUGCACAAUGGGCGCAAGCCUGCUGCAGCCAGGCCGCGUGUAUGAAGAAGGCCCUAGGGUUGUAAAGUACUUUCAGUCGGGAGGCGUUACCGACAGAAGAAGCACCGGCUAACUCCGUGCCAGCAGCCGCGGUAAUAC
rnacentral:rRNA from 1 species